rnacentral:rRNA from 1 species
AAAGCGUGCGCAGGCGGUUAUGUAAGACAGAUGUGAAAUCCCCGGGCUCAACCUGGGAACUGCAUUAGUGACUGCAUAGCUGGAGUACGGCAGAGGGGGAUGGAAUUCCGCGUGUAGCAGUGAAAUGCGUAGAUAUGCGGAGGAACACCGAUGGCGAAGGCAAUCCCCUGGGCCUGUACUGACGCUCAUGCACGAAAGCGUGGGGAGCAAACAGGAUUAGGUACCCUAGU